rnacentral:tRNA from 1 species
UAAAUCAAGAAAUAAGCUUCUAACUUAAUUCUAAAGCGAUGAAAUUCGUUUAUAUUUCUAUUUAUAUA